rnacentral:lncRNA from 1 species
AGAUGUUGCGCCGGUUGUUGUCCAGCGUGCGGCUGGAGAAGUAGCGGUCGAAGCCUGGCAGGGAACCAGGACGUCAGGGCCUCACUGGCCUUCUUCCCCACCAGCCCCAGCCCUCCCCGCCUCCCCCAGGAUAAGAGAUGGUCCAGGCGGAGGGAGAGAGACCAGGAGGAGCACAUCCUCUGAUCCAGGAGAAAACAAAAUGUGGAGCAUUUCGUUUCUUUCAAAAUGAAAAGAGCUGUAUUAGGUCCCAGGGGGAUCGUGUGUAAUCUACAACUGCUGCCUUUAUGGAAGAGAAGCACACCGAUGAGGAUGUUUCCACGGCCUUUAACCGCUGCAAUGCUAACAGCGGGCUUUGAGAAGGAGCCGCCUGGGAGUCCUGAGAUUACAGCACAGAGGCUGGUGGGGCUGCCCAACCCGGGGAGCACCUGAAGAGGAGACCAGGCCAGACAAGGAGGGAGGGAACCACCCAGAUCACACAGCAAGACCAGGACCUGGACCUUCUUCCUUCACAUCCAGGACGUCCCCAUCACUGACAGAGGCUGCCUGCCUCCUCCACAUGCUCUGCGUGGCUCACACUUCUGCUCUCAGCCUUGGAAAGCCUGUCCUAGGGUGGGCAGGCUGGCGGUGAACAACACCCCCUCCUCCUCCCAGACGCCCCCCUGCCAUACUGACUGUUCUAGGCACUGUGGACUGAGCUGCUCUGUAUGGGCCAGAGGCCUGAAAGCUCAGCGGGGCCACGUGGAGCUUCCUGCCCAUGGAAGCGUCCAAGUGGAAGCAAAAUGACCGGCCACGUGGCAGGAGACGCACUGGCAUCGAGCAGGAGGUUUGGCCUGCAGUAGGAUUUCUCAGCCUCGGCACUGUGGACGCUCUGGGCGGGAUAAUUCCUGUGGGGGGCCAUCCUGUGCACCGUACGAUACUGAGCAGUACCCCGACCUCUACCCACUGGAGGCCAGCAGCAGCAUCCCCCAACUGUGACAACCAAAAAUGGCUCCAGAAAUUGCCAAAUAUCCCCUUGGGGGGCAAAAUCGCCCCCAGAUAAGGACCAUUGUUCUAAAAGUUUCUCUAAUGUUCCUGAGAGAAAAAGUACUUGUCAGGCAAGUCCUGGAUUCUGGUCCCAACUCUGCCACUCGCUGUACUGUGUGUGUCUCAAGCUCUCUGAGCCCUGUGUAUCCAUCUACUAAAUGCGGGGAAGAGUGCAUCACAGGGAUGCUGGGGAGGCUAAAGGAGAUGUCUGUAAGGGGCCUGGCACUGGGCAGCAGCACUGCAGGAUGAAGCACCCAAGGCCAGCAGUGAGGAAUGGCAGGAGGCGCACCCCACAGUUCACCUGACGCAGCUGCUGACAGGCCCCAAGUUCCUGCUCCCUACCUUAUGCCUCCAGGAAUGGAUUUCUGUCCUCAGUGAGUCAGUAGAGAGAGGAAGGGGAACAGCCAGGGAGCUCAGUAGGGCAGGAGGUGGAGGUCCCAGGGUAGCCUGGCCUCACCCCCAAUGCCUACACCCCGUCAGCCUCAGUUUGCCCCUCUGUAGGCUGAGAGAGCAACCUCUCAGGUCUAGGGGUGGGAAGAGAGCUAAAGAAGAAGUGAGUAGUUGGGGGCUGGAUUUUGCAAUUAACCAUUCAUUCAACAAACAUUUAUUGAGCAACUACUAUGUGCCAGGGCUGUGUUAGAUGCUGGAGAUGCAGCGGAGAACAAAACAGAUUAAAAUCUCUGCCUUGGUGGACCAUAUACAAACAAAUAAAAAUGUAUUAGUCUGGUGCUAUAAAGAAAAACAGAGCAGGGUACGGGGACUGGAGAGUAGGACGGAGGCAGGGGCUGUUUCAGAUAGGCUGGUCAGAGGCCUCUCUGAAGGGAGACAUCCGAGAAGAUACCUGAAGACACCAAGAAUGCAGGCCGUGUGGACAUGCAGGAGAAGCUUUCCCACAGGAGGACCAGCCCGUGCAAAGGCCCUGAGGCGAGCUGGUGCCUGGAACAUUUGAGGAGCUGCAAGAUAGCUGCUGUGGCAAGAGCGAGGGAGAGGCACGGAAGGAGGCAAGGCCAGAGAGUGAGGAGAGGCAGCGGAACAGGCACCCUUAAUGUGAGUGGGGCCAGCCCCCUUGGCUCUGGCCGUACAGAUCUCCACCUCAUCCCCGUGGAGCCUCCGUAGAUGGGGUGCUCCAUUUACAGCCAGGGACGCCACAUGCCGAGAGUCUCACAGCCCACUGGAUGAGGAGCUGCCCAGCCUGGGCCUCCUGCUGCCCAAGCACUGUCUCCUCAGCGGGCUGCCAGCCAUGCCAUGCCACUGUGCUGACAGAGGCCAUCUACAUGCAAGUCUGAUGCUCAGCCCUGGGAGUCGGAGCAGGAGGUCAGACCCAGCAACAGCUUGACUCACCCGCAUCUCUGGAAUAUCAAUGGAGGGCACAGCAACACAGCCAAGAGAUAAGAAACUGAGCCCAGAAAGACGAAAUGAUUUUCCCAAGACCGCACAGCCAAUCAGCAUCCGAGACAGGGCACAGGUCUGCCCGAAGGAGCCUGACCUCUUAAGCACCUGCCGCCGCUUCUGCAAUGCAAGCUGGAGGAGACAGGGUGUAUAGGUAGAGUACCUGGUCUGACAGCCCUAGCUCCAAGUCCUGCUCUGACACCUGGCUGUGUGACCCUAGGCAAGCCACAUCACUUCUCUAAGGCUCAGUUCUCCCAUCUGCAAAAUGGGAAAAAAACACCUAGCCCACGGGUGUUUCACCUAGCCACAUGGUUAUUACCAGGAUCUGUAAUAGUCACAGGGGGUGUCUGGCCCAGGCAGGGCUCAGUCAAGGGCCACAGGAUUGCCCAGAGCAUGUGUAGACAAGGGUGGGAGUGGGGAAUGCCAGUGCCAGGGCUUCCUUUAGGCCUGGUGCCAGUGGCCCAGUCAGUAUUGGGCCACUCCAUGUGCCACCUACAGGCUCCCCACCUGCAGGACAGAGCCAGGUUCCCAUCCCAGCUCCUCCAUGUUCUAGCUCUGUGGCCUUGGGAAAGUGACCCACCCCCUCUGGCCUCCAUUUCCCCAUCUAUAAAAUGGGCAUAGUCAUGCUCCUCUGAAGCACCCAGAGACCAGCACACAGUUGGCACCCAGGACUCACUCACCACACUUCCAACAUGCAUCCCAGCCUGGCCAGCAUGCCCUCCCCACCACUCCCCUCUCUGGUGCUCCUCUGAGCAACUCACAGAUGAUUUAUACUUCAGAGUACGAAUCAAUACAAUAUACGGCCAAAGACAUCUUUAAUCUUUCACAGGGAUUAGGCUACAAGGUACAGUGGCCUCUUUCUACUGGCUGCUCAAUUCUGAUUUCAAUUUGGCCAGCUGAAGUGCAGCUCUCUCUCUCUCUCUUCCUUUCUUUUCACCCACUAAAAGAUGUUCCUCCAAAUCAAAUUUCAUUUAUUGGGUUGCGCGACGAGACCUAGCUGCCUGAACUGCCCUGGCCAGGCCCCCGUAGGAUGUUGCACACUGGCAUGGGGUGGCCUUGGAAGUUUGGGGACGUGGGAGGCCCAGCCAAGCAGGAAGCCAGGCCCUCAGAUGGUGCAUGGGGUGUGGCAGGUAUUGUGAGGGGCGCCUCUGCCAGGACAGGAGUGCCCCGAGCUGGAGGCCCUUGCAUAAUGGCAAAUUUUAUUUUUCUAGAUCAUGAAGUCCUUUUAAAAAAUCUUGAGUAGACUUUAUUUUUUCUAACCGCCCAAUACUUGAUUAGAUGUUGAUAAAAAAAAAAUUAAACAAUAGGCUUACCUUCAGCCAAAACACAAUGCCCAGACCCCAC